GGUUGUGACAUACCCAGAGAAUCUCUAUUUUGGCAAUCUUGCAUCAUAUGCCCUGGAUGCCCACAUGUAUAACAAGAAUCGGAACAUGCUCUGUAUUGGCCGAACUGUCCUCUAUCCCAAAUGUCACACCACGGAGAAAAUGACCAUGACUACCCAAAACCUCGCUAUCACUGCAAACACGAUGCACAUGAGCUCGCACAUGUUCUUGAGUGAGUAUAGUGGUCAUACUUGUAACCCUAUAACUGAGGUGGUGGUGGCCUAGGUGGAUUCCUAAGUAUUGGGCCUAUAACUUCGCUGAGACUCCACUUGAGACAUGGAAAAUCACAUCCCCUUGUGCUGCCCUUUCUCACUCCUCUUUGAACCCCGCUGCCGAUGCCUGCCCCAAUCUAUAUUCUGGGCGAAUUGGGGAGAUAUCCAGACUAUCCUUCAAUGCAUCAGUGGCAUAUGCCUCGCCAACUCUUGGGACAACCCUGCUAUAAACAUGUGGAUCCUGUCUUGCAUAUUAGCAACUAUGGAUGGAUCAUAUCUUGCCGAUGAGUCAAAAUGGAGACUAUACUCUCGAGCUUUCAUAUUGCCCUGCUUGAGGGCUACAAGCUGAUCGACUCGAGCCUGUUGGAUCUCCCGCAGUAAGUACUGGUGAAGGAAGGCACCUGGAAAACUCUCCCAAAUAAUAGAGGAGCAUCACGUACACUGGAAAUCUCACAUCCCUUGUACCAAAGGACGCUAUAUCUCAGACUCGAAAAGCUGCUAGUUCAACUGCCUCUUUCUCUGUGGCAAGCAUAACCCGAAAGAUCUUGUGAAACUGAUCUAUGAAAUCCUGUGGGUCCUCUCUCUGAUUUGUCCCCGUGAACUCUAGGGGACUCAAAGUAAUAAACUCUCGAAUCCUUUAACUCCCAGAUCCCUCAAAAGACCCUACACUAGCCGAUGCCCUGGCCUGUUGUUAGAUAGCUACUAACUGUGUCAAGAAAUGAACCACACUCCUCAAGUCCUAAUCUUAUAGAAAUGGAAGGGGGACUAGAUGUACGGUACCCCUAGGAAUCUCCUUUGGUGAUGGAAGAUUCGGCAAUGGCU
rnacentral:lncRNA from 1 species